CUACGGGCUGCUGCAGUGAGGAAUUUUGCGCAAUGGGGGCAACCCUGACGCAGCAACGCCGCGUGAGUGAAGAAGGCCUUUGGGUCGUAAAGCUCUGUCGACAGGGAAGAAGUUAUUGUUGUUUAACAGAUGACAGUAUUGACGGUACCUGUAGAGGAAGCACCGGCUAACUCCGUGCCAGCAGCCGCGGUAAUACGUGGGGGUGCAAGCGUUAUUCGGAAUUAUUGGGCGUAAAGGGCGCGUAGGCGGUCUUGUCGGUCAGAUGUGAAAGCCCAGGGCUCAACCCUGGACGUGCAUUUGAAACAGCAAGACUUGAGUACGGGAGGGGAAAGCGGAAUUCCUGGUGUAGAGGUGAAAUUCGUAGAUAUCAGGAGGAACACCGAUGGCGAAGGCAGCUUUCUGGACCGAUACUGACUCUGAGGUGCGAAGGUGUGGGUAGCGAACGGGAUUAGAUACCCCUGUAGUC
rnacentral:rRNA from 1 species